GUCUUAUUGAAUUUAAUAAUAAGUUUAUUCUGCCCAUUGAAUUAAAAUUUAAAAGGCUGCAGUAUAUUGACUGUACAAAGGUAGCAAAAUCAAUAGUUUUUUAAUUGAAAACUUGAAUGAAAGAAUUGAUAAAAUAUAAACUGUCUCAAAUUAAUAAAUUUGAAUUUAAAUUGAAAGUUAAAAUGCUUUUAUAAAUUUAUUAGACGAUAAGACCCUAAGAAUUUUAAAAUUUAAAUUUAUAUAAUAAAUUUUGUAAUUUUUAAAUAUAUAAAUUUAUAUUUUUUUAUUGGGAGGGUAAUUAAAUUUUUUAACUUUAAUUUUUUAUUAACAUAGAUGAAUGAAUAUUAAUGAUAAUUUUUAUAAUUAUAAGAAUAAAUUACCUUAGGGAUAACAGCGUAAUAAUUUUGGAAAGUUCAUAUUAAUAAAAUUGAUUGCGACCUCGAUGUUGAAUUAAAAUAAAAAUUAGGUGAAGAUGCUUAAAUUUUUAGUCUGUUCGACUAUUAAAAUUUUACA
rnacentral:rRNA from 1 species